GCUGGAGUGGCGCAGUGGUAGCGCAAUUGAUUCGUAAUCAAUAGGUCGUGGGUUCAAAUCCCAUCUCCAGCU
rnacentral:tRNA from 1 species